rnacentral:rRNA from 1 species
UGGGGAAUAUUGCACAAUGGGCGAAAGCCUGAUGCAGCGACGCCGCGUGCGGGAUGAAGGCCUUCGGGUUGUAAACCGCUUUCAGCAGGGAAGAAGCGAAAGUGACGGUACCUGCAGAAGAAGCACCGGCUAACUACGUGCCAGCAGCCGCGGUAAUACGUAGGGUGCGAGCGUUGUCCGGAAUUAUUGGGCGUAAAGAGCUUGUAGGCGGUUUGUCGCGUCUGCUGUGAAAAUCCGGGGCUCAACCCCGGACUGGCAGUGGGUACGGGCAGACUAGAGUAUGGUAGGGGAGACUGGAAUUCCUGGUGUAGCGGUGAAAUGCGCAGAUAUCAGGAGGAACACCAAUGGCGAAGGCAGGUCUCUGGGCCAUUACUGACGCUGAGAAGCGAAAGCGUGGGGAGCGAACA